rnacentral:rRNA from 1 species
UACGAAGGGGGCUAGCGUUGUUCGGAUUUACUGGGCGUAAAGCGCACGCAGGCGGUUUGUUAAGUCAGAUGUGAAAUCCCCGAGCUUAACUUGGGAACUGCAUUUGAAACUGGCAAGCUAGAGUCUUGUAGAGGGGGGUAGAAUUCCAGGUGUAGCGGUGAAAUGCGUAGAGAUCGGGAGGAACACCCGUGGCGAAGGCGGCCAUCUGGACCAGCACUGACGCUGAGGCACGAAAGCGUGGGGAGCAAACAGG